GACGAACGCUGGCGGCGUGCUUAACACAUGCAAGUCGUACGGUAAGGCCCUUUCGGGGGUACACGAGUGGCGAACGGGUGAGUAACACGUGAGUAACCUGCCCACAACUUUGGGAUAACGCUAGGAAACUGGUGCUAAUACUGGAUAUGUGCUCCUGCUGCAUGGUGGGGGCUGGAAAGCUCCGGCGGUUGUGGAUGGACUCGCGGCCUAUCAGCUUGUUGGUGGGGUAGUGGCCUACCAAGGCGGCGACGGGUAGCCGGCCGGAGAGGGUGACCGGCCACAUUGGGACUGAGAUACGGCCCAGACUCCUACGGGAGGCAGCAGUGGGGAAUAUUGCACAAUGGGCGCAAGCCUGAUGCAGCAACGCCGCGUGCGGGAUGACGGCCUUCGGGUUGUAAACCGCUUUCAGCAGGGACGAAGCUUUUUGUGACGGUACCUGCAGAAGAAGCACCGGCUAACUACGUG
rnacentral:rRNA from 1 species